GAGUUUGAUCCUGGCUCAGGACGAACGCUGGCGGCGUGCCUAAUGCAUGCAAGUCGAACGCAGCAGGUUAGCCCUGGCUGCGUGGCGAACGGCUGAGGAACACGUGGGUAACCUGCCCCGGAGUGGGGGAUACCCCGUCGAAAGACGGGACAAUCCCGCAUACGCUCUUUGGAGGAAAGCCAGACGGCGCUCUGGGAGGGGCCUGCGGCCCAUCAGGUAGUUGGUGUGGUAACGGCGCACCAAGCCAAUGACGGGUACCCGGUCUGAGAGGACGACCGGGCAGACUGGGACUGCGACACGGCCCAGACUCCUACGGGAGGCAGCAGCAAGGAAUUUUCCCCAAUGGGCGCAAGCCUGAGGGAGCAACGCCGCGUGGAGGACGACGGCCUUCGGGUUGUAAACUCCUUUCGGGUGGGACGAACCUGACGGUACCACCAGAAGAAGCCCCGGCUAACUCUGUGCCAGCAGCCGCGGUAAGACAGAGGGGGCAAGCGUUGUCCGGAGUUACUGGGCGUAAAGGGCGCGCAGGCGGUGGGCUGCGUCGGCGCUGAAAGCGCCCCGCUUAACGGGGCGAGGUGCGCCGAUACGAGCCCACUCGAGGCAAGCAGAGGGUGGCGGAAUUCCGGGUGGAGCGGUGAAAUGCGUAGAGAUCCGGAGGAACGCCAGUGGGGGAAGCCGGCCACCUGGGCUUGACCUGACGCUGCGGCGCGACAGCGUGGGGAGCAAACCGGGAUG
rnacentral:rRNA from 1 species